rnacentral:lncRNA from 1 species
AACAAUAUAAUAUUACCAUGCGUAACGCUACAAGCAAAGGUUCGUUUCCAUCCAGCUUUAAUGUCAUUUCAGUCAUUUCUUUUUCAGGACUGACCUUUUUUCAUUCUGGUAAAUCUAAAAUAUAUAGGUCAUACAUCUGAAAAAAUGUCUCUCUGGAACACUAAUGAUUUGCCCAAUAGCCCUUAUAGACUGAAAACUGUGCCGAAUUGCAAAUUUUGUAGAGCCAAAAGAUUUCAAUAUGGAUCACCGGGAUUUUGUUGUGAUAAUGGAUCAGUGAAAUUGAUUCACUAUGGACUACCUGCUAAAUUGCUAAAUCUUUAUUUAGGAAACUCUCAGGAGUCCAAACAUUUUCGCACUUAUGUUAAAUUGCAUAACAAUAUGUUUGCAUUUCUUCUCUUGGAGUGAAUUAUGAUAGAGAUUUAGCAAGAAGAAAUUGUGGUAUUUAUAUGUUUAGAGUUCAAGGGAAAAUGUAUCAUUUCAUAAAUGACCUCCUGCCUUCAAGUCAACCAGCAAAAAAUCUGCAGUUGUAUUUCUAUGAUACUGAUAAUGAACUAACAAAUCGGAUGGCAUUCUCUGACAAGCUUAACGAAUCGGUUAUCAGGACUUUGAUGGACACAUUAAAAGUUAAUCCAUACUCUAUUCUUUUGAAAUCUUUAAUAGAUAUUCCAGAAUUAUCAAACUUCUACAUUGCGCUUAAGUCCGACUCUGGUUUAGAUCAAAGAACAUAUAACUUACCGACAUCAUCUGAAGUAGCAGCAAUAUGGAUAGAAGAUGAAAGUAGUUCCAAUAUUUCUCUACCACAUAUUCGAAUUUAUACACAUGGUAAUAAAAGCCAAUUGGUAAAUUACUAUUAUGGUUGUUAUGAUCCAUUGCAGUAUCCAUUACCAUUUUCUUAUGGACAAAACGGAUGGCAUUGUGGUAUUAAAAAGAUUAUUCGAACGAAUAAUACUAUUAGCCAUGGAACUUAUUGUGAAAAUGAACAGCUACCAAGUGUAGAAAAUAUGAGUUCAGUAGACAUGCUACUUGACAUGGAAGCAGAACUUCUGGAAAAAAAAGAAAAGAAAAAGAAAUAUUGUGUCAUGCCGUGAGUAUUAUUGUUACAAGCUCCAAAUGAGGGACGAUGAAGAAAAUGGGGUUUUACAUGCUGGAAGAGUAUUCCAACAAUACUCAGUUGACGAAUUCAUCAAGCUUGAGAAUCAAAGGUUAGAUUUCUGUUCAUUUAAUCAAGAUUUAUUUAGAAUUGAUGUGUUAGCGGGGAUUCUUGAUGUUCUAAGACACGAAGAGAGAGAGCCAUGCAACAUUGGCAGACAAAGUUUUCUUCCUGCAAGUUUCAUAGGAGGUCCUGGGGAUAUGCGCCGACGAUAUAUGGACGCUAUUGCGUUAGUGGAAAAUUUUGGGAAACCUGAUAUAUUUUUGACAAUGACAUGUAAUCCAUCUUGGCCAGAAAUAGAAGAACAUUUAUUGGUAACAGAUGAGGUACAAAAUAGGCCCGAUUUAGUUAGUCGUGUGUUUAGAGCAAAGGUAGAAGAGAUGAAAACAGAUAUUCUAAAGAGUAAUAUAUUUGGAAAAGUUGUUGCUUUUAUGUACACUAUUGAAUUUCAAAAUCGUGGUCUUCCACAUGCUCAUUUUCUUAUCAUACUCAAAGACGAAUAUAAAUUGUUAACUCCGAAAGCUUAUGAUAGAGUUGUUUGUGCUGAAAUACCCAAUUCUGAUAAGAAUGAUUGCUUGUAUUCAGUUGUUAAUAAACAUAUGAUGCACGGACCUUGUGGUAGUUUAAAUCCUAAAUGUCCUUGUAUGAAGAACCGAGAAUACUGUAGUUCAAAUAUCUAAAAGAUUUUGCUGAUCAUACAUCAAAGGGAAAAAAUGGAUACCCAAUUUACAAAAGGCGAAAUAAUGGUAAACGUGUAAAUAUUAGAGGACAAUUUCUUGACAAUUCGUGGGUAGUUCCUUACAAUCCAUAUCUAUUGAGCAAAUUUAACUGUCAUAUUAAUGUUGAAGUUUGUUCUGAUAUUAAAGUUGUCAAAUACCUUUAUAAAUAUAUCUGCAAGGGACAUGAUAAAAUUGCCUUUUUCAUACAUGUUGAUGAUCCAAAUAUUGAAAUAGAUGAGAUCAAAGAAUAUCAAUCUGCUUGAUGGGUAUCUCCAUCAGAGGCAACUUGGUGUUUAUUUGGUUUUUCCAUUAGUGAAAUGACUCCAUCUGUUUAUCAUCUUCAGCUACAUCUUGAAGGACAAUAAUUUGUCUCUUUUCAAACCACACAGACCGUAAAUGCAAUUAUAAAUAAUCCCAUGAUUAGAAAAACAAUGUUGACGGAAUUCUUUUUGAUGAACAGAGAAAAUAAAGAUGCCAAGAAACUAAAUUUACUCUGAAAAGAAUUUCUAGAAUAUUUUGUAUGGUCCAAACAAUAUAAAAUGUGGACACGUCGACAACAGGACACUGUUAUUGGACGUAUUAUGACAUGUCAUCCAACAGAGGGGGAAAGAUAUUAUCUUAGAUUAUUAUUAAUGAAUAUUAGAGGACCAAAUCAUACCAACAUUUGCUAACUGUAAAUUAAAUAUGUUGUAGUACAUUUAGAGAAGACGCAGAAAAACAAGGAUUAUUACAAUGUGAUAAUAACUUCGUUGACUGUAUGUCAGAAGCUAUAAGAUAUCAAAUGCCUUAUAGUCUAAGACGUUUAUUUGCUACACUUUUGGUAUAUUGUAAUUCUGCUAACCCAAAAGAACUUUGGAACCGAUUUGAAGAUUCUAUGUCUGAAGACUUCAAGAUUUUGCCACAUUUGAAUGAGAAACAAAUUCGUCGUAUGGCUUUAGAUCAUAUUAACACCAUUUUGCAUUCAAUGGGUCGUGAUAUAAAUGAAUUUGCACUUGUACCAGAAAGAAUCUUAGCUUCAUCUGCUGCUAGGGAGGCUCAAGAUUCUCAUUUUGAAAGAAAUAUAAUUGUUAGAGAAGAAGAUUUAUUACUAGAAACAAAAUUGAACAAUGAACAGCGAAAAACAUAUGAUGUAAUCCUUGAUAGAAUAUUUAGGAAUAAAUCUGGAGCUUUUUUUAUCGAUGGUCCCGGAGGAACAGGCAAAACUUUUUUGUAUCGUGCAUUAUUGGCUGCUGUAAGGGAUUUAAAUCUGCUCAGAGAUUUCAUAUCUCUCCCACAUGUGAUUCAUCCUAAUAACUAUUGAUUAGGUUAAAAAAGUGCCCCUACACAUGUAAAAAAACUAAUUAAAAGGGCAAAAGAGACGAAGGCUAAAACAUUGACUAAAGAGGGGGCAAAGAGAUAUUUGCCUUUGACUUCUUCUCUGCCUACUGACUGCUACUCGGCUAGAUGCUCUUAUUUAAGAUCAAAAGGAUUCGUAUCUUUAGCAACAACAACCUCUGGUGUUGCAGCUUCAAUUCUUUCCGGAGGACGGACUGCUCACUCCCGUUUUAAAUUUCCUAUUGAUAUUGAUGAACAAUUCUUCUGUAAUAUUAGUAAGCAGAGUUCGCUUGCAUCAUUUAUACGAGAUGCCAAACUAAUUGUGUGGGAUGAAGUAUUAAUGGCCAAAAAACAAUUGAUAGAAGUUUUUGAUUUACUACUGAAAGAUCUAAUGGAUACAAAGACACUCUUUGGUGGAAAAGUUGUCGUUUUUUGCGGUGAUUUCAGACAAACUCUUCCAGUUGUUCGGAGCGGAAAAAAAGAGGAUUUCAUACAAGAAAGUUUAUUGUAUUCUGAAAUCUGGAACCAAUUUGAAAAAUUGCGAUUAUCAGUAAAUAUACGACCGAGAACAGAUCCUGCUUUUUGCGAAUAUUUGAUGCGAAUAGGGAGCGAAAAAGAAAAAACAAAUUGCCAAGGUAAGAUUGAAAUUCCUAAUUAUUUCAUUGUUCCUUUUAUAAGCGAAAAAGAAUCGUUGAAUCUUUUAUUUUAGAAUAAUUUAUCUAGAUUUAUAUACAUCUGUUUGUGAUGUGUCUUCUACAACUUCUCGUGUCAUUUUGACAACAAAAAAUAAUUUCGUUGACGAAAUAAAUUAUAUGCUAAUAAGUCAAUUUUUUGGUGAAUCUAGGACAUAUGUAGCGUUUGACGAAACUAUUGAAACUACCUAUCAAAGUCAAUAUGAAGAUUUCUUGCAUACUUUACACCCAACUGGCUUGCCUCCGUAUAAAUUAACUGUGAAAAAGAAUUGUCCCAUUAUUUUACUGCGUAAUUUAAAUCCAUGUGAAGGUUUAUGUAAUGGUACAAGACUUAUAUGCUGUAAUUUCGAAAGACAUGUGAUAAGUGCUAAAAUUGCAAGUGGUGACUUGAAAAACAUACAUGUAUUUAUUCCCAAAAUACCUUUGUUGUCUUCUCAAGAUGAAAACCUGCCUAUUCCUUUCAAAAAACACAAUUUCCUGUUAGAUUAUGUUUUGCUAUGACAAUAAACAAAGCUCAAGGUCAGACAUUACAUUUUGUUGGAAUUUAUUUACGAGAGCUUGUUUUUUCCCACGGUCAGCUUUAUGUUGCUUUAUUGCGAGAAAAAGCUCAAGUUCUGUAAAAUUAUUGAUCCGACCGCCAACAACUAAUAGCAACGAUGAUCAUACAACACACAAUGUAGUAUAUUAUGAAAUCAUUCAAGCAUCUCUCUUGUGAAUUAACAGUAAAACUAUGAGCAGUCACUUAUUUGAGAUUUGACAUACAUCUGACUGAUAUCCUGCAAAAGAUUGAUCCUCAGCACCUAUAAAUUGGAUUGAUAUCACAUAGAUGUUAACUGAGAUGUCUCUGCAUCUUGAAUCCUUGCUUCACUAAAGAUCCUAAAGGUGGAAUACUACUUGAAUAUUGCACUAACUAUCUGGUAAGUAAUUUUUUUCUUGAAUAUACAUCUAAUACUUGAAACCUUGCUUUGAUUAAUAAUUUUGCGUGUGCAUCUAUAUAUGUUUACAUGUUUGCCUGUUUCUGGACAGAUUCCAAUUGUAUACCAAAUAAAAUUCUUCUUCUUCUUUGGCUAUUGGAAAUAUGAUAUCUUCUUAUCUUCUCCAGAAUGAAUGAAAGAGCUUGGCUUAGUUUCUGCAAUGGAGAUCUAAAAUGAAUUCGUUCAAUAUCAGCUUACUUCAGAUAAUAUUCCACAAAACUACUUGAUGAUUCCAAGGUAAGUUUCUCUUUCUUAGUUUUAACAUGUUAUUUCAUCAAAUUUUCUAAAUUGUUUGAGUUCUUUAGAAAAGAAUGAUAUCUUUAUAUUUUCAUUUUACCUUUUCAAUUUUCCUUAACUGUAUAAUUUCUUUUGUUGAAUACUUCAGUACGUCCUGAAGACAUAUUUGAAAAAAGAACUGUUAUUCUCGCAGCUUCUUGCCAUUAUUGGUUGCAAUAAUUCUGCUAGCUUUAGGUUUGGGCGUCAUUCAGUAUAGACAUAAAAGAAGAGUUCAAUACUAAAAAAGAUAAAACAAAAUAUACUAUUUUUGGUACUUGGAAACCAUAACCAGAUAAUCAAAUAGUAUUCUACUCUAAUUGUUUAGUUUUCUUGACAAUUUUAUGGUCUAAAUUCUCUACUUGUAUAAACAUAUUGCAGGAAAAUUGGCCCACAACCAUAACAAAGAUCAUAACAGUUCAUUGCUUGGUCUGCUUUCUACUUUGUCGCAACCAUUUAUAAUUCUUGAUCUGGGUGCAGAGCCUCAAGAAGUCACACGUUUAGCAUGCCAA